ACGUAAUGCGCUUCGGUGCAAUGUGGCCCGUGUGGUGAGCAUGGGGCUGAAAAUGAGCCAGUCAGGCUGGACGGUCCGGCAGUGUGCUAGGGACGGAUGUGUGGAGUGGGAGUGGAUGCGAAUACAGUGCAUUUUUCACUGUGCAACACGCAUGCACUCUUCCCCUCGCAUGCUCACUGUCUUGUCGCUGCCGGCACCAACCAGCCAUCAACUCCAAUA
rnacentral:misc_RNA from 1 species